rnacentral:tRNA from 1 species
CGGGAAGUAGCUCAGCUUGGUAGAGCACUUGGUUUGGGACCAAGGGGGUCGCAGGUUCGAAUCCUGUCUUCCCGA